rnacentral:tRNA from 1 species
CAGAAGGUAGUUUAGUUAAAAAUGCCAGCUUUGGGGGCUGGGGAUGGGGGUUUGAGUCCCCCCUUUCUGA